AGUAAGUUAUUGCCAGGGUUUUUAUUUUAUACUUUAAACAUUGAUUUUAUUUUUUAUGUUUUUAGAUGUUCAUGUUUUUGAAUGUUUUAUUUAAAUAAUAUAAAAAAUAAAAUAUAUAUUGACAUGGAUUAAACAAAGAUAUAUAUUAUUCUAUGUUGCAUAAGCAAAUUGGCAAAAUAGAGAUGGAAGAUAAAAAUAUGGUCAAAGUAAUAAGAGUC
rnacentral:misc_RNA from 1 species